rnacentral:rRNA from 1 species
GGAGCUCUCCCAUAUGGUCGACCUGCAGGCGGCCGCGAAUUCACUAGUGAUUGUUUGAUCCUGGCUCAGGAUGAACGCUAGCGACAGGCCUAACACAUGCAAGUCGAGGGGUAUAAGUAGCUUGCUACUUAGAGACCGGCGCACGGGUGAGUAACGCGUAUGCAACCUACCUUUUACUGGGGGAUAGCCCAAAGAAAUUUGGAUUAAUACCGCAUAACAUAUUUGAAUCGCAUGGUUUAAAUAUUAAAACUUCGGUGGUAAAAGAUGGGCAUGCGUAGCAUUAGUUAGUUGGUGAGGUAACGGCUCACCAAGACUAUGAUGCUUAGGGGGUCUGAGAGGAUAGUCCCCCACACUGGUACUGAGACACGGACCAGACUCCUACGGGAGGCAGCAGUGAGGAAUAUUGGUCAAUGGGCGCAAGCCUGAACCAGCCAUGUCGCGUGCAGGAUGACGGCCCUAUGGGUUGUAAACCGCUUUUUUACAGGAAUAAACUUUGUUACGUGUAGCAAACUGAAGGUACUGUAAGAAUAAGGAUCGGCUAACUCCGUGCCAGCAGCCGCGGUAAUACGGAGGAUCCAAGCGUUAUCCGGAUUUAUUGGGUUUAAAGGGUCCGUAGGCGGGCUUUUAAGUCAGUGGUGAAAUCCCAGAGCUCAACUCUGGAACUGCCAUUGAUACUGAAGGUCUUGAAUUUAGUUGAGGUGGG